UACGUAGGGUGCGAGCGUUGUCCGGAAUUAUUGGGCGUAAAGGGCUCGUAGGCGGUUUGUCGCGUCGGGAGUGAAAACUCAGGGCUUAACCCCUGAGCCUGCUUCCGAUACGGGCAGACUAGAGGUAUGCAGGGGAGACUGGAAUUCCUGGUGUAGCGGUGAAAUGCGCAGAUAUCAGGAGGAACACCAAUGGCGAAGGCAGAUCUCUGGGCCGUAAGCUGACGCUGAGGAGCGAGAGCAUGGGGAGCGAACAGG
rnacentral:rRNA from 1 species